rnacentral:rRNA from 1 species
UACGAAGGGGGCUAGCGUUGCUCGGAAUCACUGGGCGUAAAGCGCACGUAGGCGGCUUUCUAAGUCGGGGGUGAAAUCCUGGAGCUCAACUCCAGAACUGCCUUCGAUACUGGCGAUCUUGAGUCCGGGAGAGGUGAGUGGAACUCCGAGUGUAGAGGUGAAAUUCGUAGAUAUUCGGAAGAACACCAGUGGCGAAGGCGGCCCUCUGGCUCGACCCUGACGCUGAGGCGCGAAAGCGUGGGGAGCGAACGGG